rnacentral:tRNA from 1 species
GCCCCGGUAGUAUAGCCCGGUCAAACCCAAGUAUCGAGAGUAUGCCGGCCUUUCGAGUCGGCGACCCGGGUUCGAAUCCCGGCCGGGGCA